GCUGGCGGCGUGCCUAAUACAUGCAAGUCGAGCGAGCUGAAUUCAAAGAUUCCUUCGGGAUGAUUUGUUGGACGCUAGCGGCGGAUGGGUGAGUAACACGUGGGCAAUCUGCCCUAAAGACUGGGAUACCACUUGGAAACAGGUGCUAAUACCGGAUAACAACAUGAAUCGCAUGAUUCAAGUUUGAAAGGCGGCGCAAGCUGUCACUUUAGGAUGAGCCCGCGGCGCAUUAGCUAGUUGGUGGGGUAAAGGCCUACCAAGGCAAUGAUGCGUAGCCGAGUUGAGAGACUGAUCGGCCACAUUGGGACUGAGACACGGCCCAAACUCCUACGGGAGGCAGCAGUAGGGAAUCUUCCACAAUGGACGCAAGUCUGAUGGAGCAACGCCGCGUGAGUGAAGAAGGUUUUCGGAUCGUAAAGCUCUGUUGUUGGUGAAGAAGGAUAGAGGCAGUAACUGGUCUUUAUUUGACGGUAAUCAACCAGAAAGUCACGGCUAACUACGUGCCAGCAGCCGCGGUAAUACGUAGGUGGCAAGCGUUGUCCGGAUUUAUUGGGCGUAAAGCGAGCGCAGGCGGAAUGAUAAGUCUGAUGUGAAAGCCCACGGCUCAACCGUGGAACUGCAUCGGAAACUGUCAUUCUUGAGUGCAGAAGAGGAGAGUGGAACUCCAUGUGUAGCGGUGAAAUGCGUAGA
rnacentral:rRNA from 1 species